CAGUCGCCGCGGUAAUACGUAGGUCCCGAGCGUUGUCCGGAUUUAUUGGGCGUAAAGCGAGCGCAGGCGGUUAGAUAAGUCUGAAGUUAAAGGCUGCGGCUUAACCAUAGUACGCUUUGGAAACUGUUUAACUUGAGUGCAAGAGGGGAGAGUGGAAUUCCAUGUGUAGCGGUGAAAUGCGUAGAUAUAUGGAGGAACACCGGUGGCGAAAGCGGCUCUCUGGCUUGUAACUGACGCUGAGGCUCGAAAGCGUGGGGAGCAAACAGGAUUAGAUACCCCCGUAGUCCCUGUCUCUUAUACA
rnacentral:rRNA from 1 species